GGAGGAAAGUAGGGGAUCGCAAGACCUUGCGCUUUUGGAGUGGCCGAUGCCUGAUUAGCUAGUUGGUGGGGUAAUGGCCUACCAAGGCGACGAUCAGUAGUUGGUCUGAGAGGACGACCAGCCACACUGGGACUGAGACACGGCCCAGACUCCUACGGGAGGCAGCAGUGGGGAAUUUUGGACAAUGGGCGAAAGCCUGAUCCAGCAAUGCCGCGUGAGUGAAGAAGGCCUUCGGGUUGUAAAGCUCUUUCAGUCGAGAAGAAAAGGUUGUGACUAAUAAUCACAACUCAUGACGGUAUCGACAGAAGAAGCACCGGCUAACUACGUGCCAGCAGCCGCGGUAAUACGUAGGGUGCGAGCGUUAAUCGGAAUUACUGGGCGUAAAGGGUGCGCAGGCGGCUUUGUAAGUCAGAUGUGAAAUCCCCGGGCUUAACCUGGGAAUUGCGUUUGAAACUACAAGGCUAGA
rnacentral:rRNA from 1 species